GACGAACGCUGGCGGCGUGCUUAACACAUGCAAGUCGAACGCAGUGGGGACGGGUGAGUAACACGUGGGUAACCUCCCAUCAGAGGGGAUAACACUUGGAAACAGGUGCUAAACCGAUACUGAUGGAUGGACCCGCGGUUCAUUAGCUAGUUGGUGAGGUAACGGCGCACCAAGGCCACGAUGCAUAGCGGGCCUGAGAGGGUGAUCGGCCACAAUGGGACGGAGACACGGCCCAGACUCCUACGGGAGGCAGCAGUAGGGAAUCUUGGGCAAUGGGCGAAAGUCUGACCGAGCAAGGCCGCGUGAGUGAAGAAGGUUUUCGGAGCGUAAAGCACUGUUGGUAGAGAAGCGGUAUCUAACCAGAAAGCCACGGCUAACUACGUGCCAGCAGCCGCGGUAAUAC
rnacentral:rRNA from 1 species